UUCGAUUCCGCCUCAGUAGGUAGAGCAACUGACUUGUAAUCAGUAGGUCACCAGUUCGAUUCCGGUAGUCGGCACCA
rnacentral:tRNA from 1 species